rnacentral:tRNA from 1 species
GGAUAUAGCUCAGUUGGUAGAGUGCUUGCCUUGCAUGCAUAAUGCCAUGGGUUCAAUCCCCAGCACCA